rnacentral:rRNA from 1 species
UACGGAGGGUGCAAGCGUUGUCCGGAUUUAUUGGGUUUAAAGGGUGCGUAGGCGGCCCGUUAAGUCAGCGGUGAAAUCCCGGGGCUCAACCCCGGAACUGCCGUUGAUACUGGCGGGCUUGAGUUCGGUGAAGGCGGGCGGAACUGGCGGUGUAGCGGUGAAAUGCUUAGAUACCGCCAAGAACCCCGAUUGCGUAGGCAGCCG